AUACGGAGGGUGCAAGCGUUACUCGGAAUCACUGGGCGUAAAGCGCGCGCAGGCGGCUAUUUAAGUUGGAUGUGAAAGCCUACGGCCCAACCGUAGAACUGCAUCCAAAACUAUUUAGCUAGAGUGUGGGAGAGGAAGAUGGAAUUAGUUGUGUAGGGGUAAAAUCCGUAGAGAUAAAUAGGAAUACCAAAAGCGAAGGCAAUCUUCUGGAACACUACUGACGCUGAGGCGCGAAAGCGUGGGGAGCAAACAGGAUUAGAAACCCCAGUAGUCC
rnacentral:rRNA from 1 species